CCUACGGGAGGCAGCAGUGGGGAAUAUUGGGCAAUGGGCGCAAGCCUGACCCAGCAACGCCGCGUGAAGGAAGAAGGCUUUCGGGUUGUAAACUUCUUUUCUCAGGGACGAAGAAAGUGCCGGUACCUGAUGAAUAAGCCCCGGCUAACUACGUGCCAGCCGCCGCGGGAAUCCGUAGGUGGCACGCGUUAUCAGGAUUUCUUGGGUGUAAAGGGCGUGUAGGCGGGAGCGCACGUCAGAUGUGAAAACUCAGGGCUCAACCCUGGGCCUGCAUUUGGAACUGGGUUUCUUGAGUGCUGGAGAGGCAAUCGGAAUUCCGGGUGUAGCGGUGAAAUGCGUAGAUAUACGGAGGAACACCAGUGGCGAAGGCGGAUUGCUGGACAGUAACUGACGCUGAGGCGCGAAAGCGUGGGGAGCAAACAGGAUUAGAUACCCUGGUAGUC
rnacentral:rRNA from 1 species